rnacentral:rRNA from 1 species
UACAGAGGUGGCAAGCGUUGUUCGGAAUUACUGGGCGUAAAGGGCGCGUAGGCGGCCUUCUAAGUCAGACGUGAAAUCCCCCGGCUUAACCUGGGAACUGCGUCUGAUACUGAAGGGCUUGAGUGCGGGAGAGGGAUGUGGAAUUCCAGGUGUAGCGGUGAAAUGCGUAGAUAUCUGGAGGAACACCGGUGGCGAAGGCGGCAUCCUGGACCGACACUGACGCUGAGGCGCGAAAGCUAGGGUAGCAAACGGG